AACAAGGAGUUUUCGCAGCCACGCCAUCAAGAUACAUCGUCGUCGUCACCAGCCUCGAAAAAUUAUUCAGGCUUCCAGCGUGCCGUGCCAUUGCUUCGGCAGUAAGACGAGUUGGUCGGUGUCGAGCAAAACCCGAGAUCGCACCUCUCCGCGUGGCGAUGCGUGGAGGAGACGCAGGAGCAGCAGCGGAGGCAGGGUCCCCGCGCUCGCCGGACCUCUACGACCUCUCCGACGACUCCGACUACGCCGCCGCCGCCGCCGCCGCCUCCGACCACACGGCGAUGCAGACAGAUUUGGCGGACAGAGGCUCUGAUGUGAUGGCGGGCAUUGACGUUGUUUAUGAGAAGGAGCGUGUGACCAUCCACCUGACGCAGUAUGGCUCUGGCCGGAUCAGUGGGAAGCUGCGCCUGUUUCUGCAGAAGGGAUCAUUGUUCCUGAGUUGGGAGCCAAAUGAAGGAGCUGACUCUUUGUCUACCAGUUCAUUUGGUGUUGAAAUAGAAAAAUACAGAAAUCUGUACACUAUCAAGGCUUUGCCCUUAAGUGAUGUUCGCUUCAUCAGUAAGCAUACCCCAACAUUUACAUUGGGCUACAUAAUAAUUGUUCUAUCAUCAGGCCUGGCUUUUCCUCCAUUCUAUUUCUACAAUGGGGGAAUUCGUGAAUUGUUUGCGACAUUGAAACAGCACAUCUUCAUUCUCAGGUCGGAUGACAAUCCUAAUGUUUUUCUUGUCAACGACUUUCAAGAUCCUCUUCAGAAAAGCUUGUCAUCCCUGGAGCUUCCAGGAGUAGCCACUGUGGCAAAUGCCAUGUCACGACAAAAUUCACUCAGUUUCACUGGGUCAGUUGAUGAGACCAGGCAUGGGGCCGAUGAAAGACACGGGGAAGCUUCUAGUAUAUCUCAGUAUGGCUCAAAGCAAAGACACAAAUCAAACGACCCAGGCCGUGAUCUUUCAAUUCAAGUCUUGGAGAAGUUCUCAUUGGUUACAAAGUUCGCACGUGAUACUACAUCAAGCCUCUUUCGAGACAAUAGUGGUGCCCAUGGUUAUGGACGGCAACAACAUGAAUAUGUUUUUGAUAAUAAAGCAAGUGAUAAGCACAAAAAUCAGUAUAUAACACCAGAAAAGGCUUAUAUACCCUCAGCUACACAGGAGUCAGAUCCAUUGCCUCUGGUAUGGGGAAAACAAAGAGAUUGCCCAUUAAGUGUCGAAGAGUGGACAGCUUUCUUAGAUCCUGAAGGUAGAGUUAUGGAUUCGAAGGCGCUGAGGAAAAAGGUCUUUUAUGGGGGAGUCGAUCAUGUUCUGAGAAAAGAGGUGUGGAAGUUCUUGUUGGGUUAUCAUGAAUAUGAUUCAACAUAUGCUGAGAGGGAAUACCUUGCUGCCAUGAAACGAGCAGAAUAUGAAGCUAUAAAAUCUCAGUGGAAGAGUAUCUCAGCCACCCAAGCUAAAAGAUUCACCAAGUUUAGGGAAAGAAAAGGCCUCAUUGACAAAGAUGUGGUGAGAACUGAUAGGUCUGUUCCCUUCUAUGAAGGAGAUGACAAUCAGAAUGUUGUAGUUCUACGUGAUAUUCUGUUAACAUAUUCCUUCUACAAUUUCGACCUUGGUUAUUGCCAAGGAAUGAGUGACUUUUUGGCUCCCAUACUUUAUGUCAUGGAGGAUGAGUCCGAAUCAUUUUGGUGCUUUGCUUCCUUGAUGGAACGAUUAGGAGCCAAUUUUAAUCGUGACCAGAAUGGCAUGCAUGCUCAACUACUUGCAUUAUCCAAGCUCGUGGAGCUUCUUGAUCCUCCAUUGCAUAACCAUUUUAGGCAGAAUGACUGCUUGAACUAUUUCUUCUGUUUCCGCUGGGUUCUUAUACAGUUCAAAAGGGAGUUCAGUUUUGACCAGGUCAUGCUCUUAUGGGAAGUUUUGUGGACCCAUUAUUUGUCAGAACACUUCCACUUGUACUUGUGUGUAGCAAUCUUGAAAAGAUACCGUCAGCGUAUAAUCGGGGAGCAGAUGGACUUUGAUACCCUCCUCAAGUUCAUCAAUGAGCUCAGUGGUCAGAUCAAUCUUGACCGGGCUAUCCAGGAUGCUGAGGCAUUGUGUACUAUUGCAGGAGAAAAUGGGGCAUCUUGUAUUCCACCUGGAACCCCACCUUCAAUGCCCAUCGAGACCGAUGGUGGCCUUUAUGUGCAAGAAGAUGAGGUUUUGUGAGAUUUCACCGGUCACAUUAGAAAAUAAGUGCACAGAAGCAUCUCAUCAGUGUUUAUCCUGUACUGGUUUCAUGGAUGUCAUAAAUCUGAUGAGUUAUUAUCUAUGGGACCCCUGGUUUUGCCUCAUCUAACUUCUGCUGGCCAACCCUAACUGGUGACGCUGGCAGGCUUGUGUUGCCAGUGCCUUUGUUCCAGCUUAAUUGCUUAUGGGGGGUCCUUACUUCCUACUGUGUACUUUAGGCUCUUCCAAAUGAAGUGAAGAUGGUAUUAUAGCCAGGGUUUGUUACUGUAUCUCCCUCGGAACUCUAAAAGUGGUGGCACACCUAGGUAUAAGAUUAUUUCUUAAUUUUGUUCUGAAAA